CCGUAACGAGCGCAACCCUUGUCCUUAUUUGCCAGCACGUAAUGGUGGGAACUCUAAGGAGACUUCCGGUGACAAACCGGAGGAAGGUGGGGAGGACGUCAAGUCAUCAUGGCCCUUAUGACCAGGGCUACACACGUGCUACAAUGGGGCGUACAGAGGGUUCUAAGCCGCGAGGUGGAGCCAAUCCCAGAAAACGUUUCGUAGUCCGGAUCGAAGUCUGCAACUAGAUUUCGUGAAGUCGGAAUCGCUAGUAAUCG
rnacentral:rRNA from 1 species